rnacentral:rRNA from 1 species
GCACGGGUGAGUAACACGUGACUAACCUACCCUUGAGUUGGGGGAUAACUGAGGGAAACCUCAGCUAAUACCGCAUAAUACCUACGGGUCAAGGAGCAAUUCGCUUAGGAGGGGGUCGCGGUCGAUUAUUUAGUUGGCGGGGUAUGGCCCACCAAGACUUGUGAUCGAUAUCCGGCCUGAGAGGGCGCACGGACACACUGGAACUUGAAACACGGUCCAGACUCCUACGGGAGGCAGCAGUGGGGAAUUUUGCGCAAUGGGGGAAACCCUGACGCAGCAACGCCGCGUGGAGGAUGAAGUCCUUCGGGACGUAAACUCCUUUCGAUCGGGACGAUUAUGACGGUACCGGAAGAAGAAGCCCCGGCUAACUUCGUGCCAGCAGCCGCGGUAAUACGAGGGGGGCGAGCGUUGUUCGGAAUUAUUGGGCGUAAAGGGUGCGUAGGCGGUUUGGUAAGUCUUAUGUGAAAUCUAUGGGCUCAACUCAUAGACUGCAUGAGAAACUGCCGGGCUUGAGUGUGGGAGAGGUGAGUGGAAUUUUCCCGGUGUAGCGGUGAAAUGCGUAGAUUUCGGAAGGAACACCUGUG